rnacentral:rRNA from 1 species
CCUACGGGGGGCAGCAGUGAGGAAUAUUGGUCAAUGGGCGGGAGCCUGAACCAGCCAAGUCGCGUGAGGGAAGACGGUCCUAUGGAUUGUAAACCUCUUUAGGCGGGGAGCAAUGCCGGGCACGCGUGCCCGGAGGGAGAGUACCCGCAGAAUAAGCAUCGGCUAACUACGUGCCAGCAGCCGCGGUAAUACGUAGGGGGCAAGCGUUAUCCGGAUUUACUGGGUGUAAAGGGAGCGUAGACGGUCCUGCAAGCCAGAUGUGAAAGCCCGGGGCUCAACCCCGGGACUGCAUGUGGAACUGUAAGGCUAGAGUGUCGGAGAGGCAGGCGGAAUUCCUAGUGUAGCGGUGAAAUGCGUAGAUAUCAGGAGGAACACCGGUGGCGAAGGCGGCCUGCUGGACUGCAACUGACGUUGAGGCCCGAAAGCGUGGGGAGCAAACAGGAUUAGAUACCCCUGUAGUC